UUUUCUCCGUGCUUCACGGUGCAGUAAACAAAUCUCACCAUCUCCCCGUAAAGGGAACCCUGAGUAUUAUGCGAAGUAGCCAUGAGCCGACUCGAAGUUCUGUAAAUCUUUUAUUUUAUUCAUCGCUGUUCAUGGUC
rnacentral:lncRNA from 1 species